CUGACACUGAAGAGUCCCACAAUAGGACGAAACGGCCGUCUAG
rnacentral:hammerhead_ribozyme from 1 species